rnacentral:lncRNA from 1 species
UUAGAUCAAAGCUUAUUUAUUACCAGUCGGUUCCUUAAUUAAAGGGAACCUUCUCCUUAAUUGUGUAUGAUUGGUACUGUUGAAUAUUUUUUUAUUUCCAGCCGGUUCCUUAAUUAAAGGGAACCUUCUCCUUAAUUGUGUAUAAUUGGUACUGAUGAAUAUUUUCUUGCCUUAAGUGUUGCAUCUCUUUCAAACUAUUAAUAGGCCUUCACUUAUUCUCACUAACAACAACAAUACACGAGUUCCCUCUACUCUUACUCACUAAAAACUCUCUGCAUUUCUCUUUUCUUCUCUGUUACUUGCUCUCUAUAGCUAAGGAUUAGCCGGCUAAAAGCCAAGGCCGAUUAUAAGGUUUGUCUUUGCUUUGUUUCUCAAGUUUAAACUCGUAGGCUCCUAAUUUCAAUUAUUAACCUCCAACUAUCUGUUUGUUUUCCCCUUUCUUUUUUUUUUGUUAUGUUAUUUCAACUUAAGCUCUUGCAUGUUUAAUCCCUUCCCUUGUCCCCUUGUCUGUUUGUUUGUUUCAGUAUUUCAUUUGAGUGCUAGCAUGCUUAAUUCCCUCUCCCUUUCCCUAGGCUGUUAUGCUUUUUCAGUUUAAGCUCUAACAUGUUUUAUCCCCUUUUCCCUGGUUACCUCACCUAUUUUGUGUAUCUCAGUUAAGAUUUAUGAUAGUUCCCUUCCCCUUGUUCCCUUGUCUGAUUGUGCUCAAAUCCGGCAGGAUAAUCCUUAACCCUGCUCCUUGUC